GACGCUGGGUUGAACAGUGGUAGGGAAUGACGGAUGGACUAACCUGUGGCCUUCUACCUGUGGAAAACGAGGCCGUGCUGAGGCCUUAUCUUGUGUCACAGCAGCUUCAUUAGGAGGAGUUAAACGUAGCCUUAUUGAAUCUGGGAACUCGGAAGCUGAACUCGGAACUUGGAAAUCUUUGACUUCCGACUUCAGUUCCUUCAAUCCAACUGGGAACUCGAACAAAAACGAGCUCCGACUGAAAAAAAAAUAUUUUGAACGGUCAUCCAACUCUGAAGUUAUUCAAGACUACUGUGAAACAGCCAGUCAGCAUUCCAGGUGACAUAGCUUGUCUCUGGAAACCAGGCCUGGACUUUUUACAUUGCUGGAAAUUCCACUUUUACAUUACAGUUUUUUCCAACUGCUUACACACAAAAUCUUUUCAUGUCACACGAUUUUUUAAACCUCUCACUCAAAGUGCAAAACUACACACCAAAUAUCCAAAACCAUAAGCUAUUUCUCAGCCUUUGACUCAGUUGUCAAUUGCAUGAAACACUUUUUCAAAACACUACAACACAAUUCUCUACCAAAAACACAAAAAUCUAACAGGAAGUGACUUGCUUUCCUUUUCCAAACACAACCAAUCAAAAUGCUACACGUAUUCACCAGGUCACACACACACUCCUCACAUGUGCAAACACUAAUAGCUUAACUGAUCACUAACUAAUCACUGCUUUACUGUAGUAUAGGCCUAUAAAUAGGUCAAAGGUCAGAUUACCUGUUUUGAGCAAUGGAUGCCUAAAAUGGACAGAGAGCAAGAGGAGUAGGAGGGAGAGGAAAAGGAAGAAGAGGGCGAGGACAAAGAAGAGAAGGAAGGAGAGCCAUCUCUAAUGAGAUUGGGGCAACACUUGUUGAUCAUGUGAUCAACCACGGUUUGACCAACUUGAGUCGAUUUACAGUGGCGUCCAUAAUUUGAACCUUCAGAAAUGAGAACAGAGUGGAAAGGCAAAGACAUCAUGGAUGAUGAGGACGCUUGUUUACAGAUGUACAAGAGACUGCAAUUACAAAUAUGGUUUUGGCCAACAAUGCAAUUAGGAUUCGAGAGAUGACACCUUAUUUAACAACAUCAAUGCUGUAAGCCAGUCGACCAUACAACGCAUCCUCCAACGGCACCGAGUGACGAUGAAACGACUUUACAAGAGAGUAUUGGAGCUGGAUGCCCAUAUAAUUCACCAUUAAUUUAUUUAUGUGGAUGAGGUUGACUAGGAAAGAGGGCAAUUACCAAUGUCCCUGGACAGCAUGGGGGUAAUAUAACUAUGUGUGAUGCCAUCACUCAAAACGGGGUUAGUUUUCCCCGGGCUGUUCUUGUCACGUUCUGACCUUUAUUUCCUUUGUUUUGUCAUUAUUUAGUAAGGUCAGGGCGUGAGUUGGGGUGGGCAGUCUAUGUUUGUUUUUCUAUGAUUUGGGGAUUUCUAUGU